rnacentral:rRNA from 1 species
AUUGAACGCUGGCGGCAGGCUUAACACAUGCAAGUCGAACGGAAGAGGGGGGCUUGCUCCUGGCUUGUGCGGCAGACGGGUGAGUAAUACCUAGGCAUCUGCCUGGGAGUGGGGUAUAGCGUCGGGAGAUAGGCUCUAAUACCGCAUGAGUUCUGGGGGAGAAUAUGGGGGCGCUUCGGCUCUCACGCUUGCAGAUGAGGCUAGGUCGGAUUAGCUAGUUGGUGGGGUAAAGGCUUACCAAGGCGACGAUCAGUAACUGGUCUGAGAGGAUGAUCAGCCACACUGGAACUGAGACACGGUCCAGACUCCUACGGGAGGCAGCAGUGGGGAAUAUUGGACAAUGGGCGAAAGCCUGAUCCAGCCAUGCCGCGUGUGUGAAGAAGGUCUUCGGAUUGUAAAGCACUUUUAGUUGGGAGGAAGCGCAGUAAGCUAAUACCUUGCUGUUUUGACGGUACCAAAAGAAUAAGCACCGGCUAACUUCGUG